rnacentral:rRNA from 1 species
GAUGAACGCUGGCGGCGUGCCUAAUACAUGCAAGUCGAGCGAACGGACGAGAAGCUUGCUUCUCUGAUGUUAGCGGCGGACGGGUGAGUAACACGUGGAUAACCUACCUAUAAGACUGGGAUAACUUCGGGAAACCGGAGCUAAUACCGGAUAAUAUUUUGAACCGCAUAGUUCAAAAGUGAAAGACGGUCUUGCUGUCACUUAUAGAUGGAUCCACGCUGCAUUAGCUAGUUGGUAAGGUAACGGCUUACCAAGGCAACGAUGCAUAGCCGACCUGAGAGGGUGAUCGGCCACACUGGAACUGAGACACGGCCCAGACUCCUACGGGAGGCAGCAGUAGGGAAUCUUCCGCAAUGGGCGAAAGCCUGACGGAGCAACGCCGCGUGAGUGAUGAAGGUCUUCGGAUCGUAAAACUCUGUUAUUAGGGAAGAACAUAUGUGUAAGUAACUGUGCACAUCUUGACGGUACCUAAUCAGAAAGCCACGGCUAACUACGUG